AGUCCUUAGCCCGCUCUGAGCCACCGGAGUCAGAGGGCUCGGGCGCCUGCCUUCUUGGUGCGGGCUGGGGAGGACCUGCUCGCAAAGGGCUGCCAACUGAACUUUCCUGCACUAGGGGUGACCGCAUUGUGGUGCAAAGUGACAAGUCGAGUGUUGGCUUGGGGACUGCAAUGUAAGUGAGGGACCCUGGGUGUUGGUGGAGGGGAGAAUGGAGGGAUUAUUGCCCACUCCCCCCUCCGCCGUGCCAAGUUCAGCCAGAAGUUAACGAAGUUUGCUUUUAGGGAUUGAACUCGUCUUGGGUUCUCCGACCGCGCAGGGCUUGGGGUUAGGGAAAGGAGGGGCAGAGUCCUUUGUGCCCAUCGCGUGCAAACUUUGGCCCCAAACAGGACCGGCCACCAGGAAGGGAACCAGGUAUGCGCUGGGGUCCCGAGCGGCCCCCUGGCAGCGGACGUUCCCGCAGGUAGUGCGCGACUCUUGCCCCAGGAAGAAGUCGCUGCUGCCUGCAGGGUGGCCUUGGAGAGGCUCGGGCCUCCAUUGAGACUGCUCACUUCCUUUUCUCCGGGAACACGGCUCUUCAGCUUUUUCCGCCCUAGGCUCCCCCACCUCCUCGGUUCCCCAUGGGAGAGUUAUUUGAGGGCUCCCCGGAGUUGGGAGUUGACCCACCAAUCCUAGCAAAUCAAGGCCCGCCCGGCUA
rnacentral:lncRNA from 1 species